rnacentral:rRNA from 1 species
GACGAACGCGGGCGGCGUGCCUAAUACAUGCAAGUAGAACGCUGAAGGAGGAGCUUGCUUCUCUGAAUGAGUUGCGAACGGGUGAGUAACGCGUAGGUAACCUGCCUGGUAGCGGGGGAUAACUAUUGGAAACGAUAGCUAAUACCGCAUAAUAGCAGUUGUUGCAUGAUAACUGUUUGAAAGGUGCAAUUGCACCACUACCAGAUGGACCUGCGUUGUAUUAGCUAGUUGGUGGGGUAACGGCUCACCAAGGCGACGAUACAUAGCCGACCUGAGAGGGUGAUCGGCCACACUGGGACUGAGACACGGCCCAGACUCCUACGGGAGGCAGCAGUAGGGAAUCUUCGGCAAUGGACGGAAGUCUGACCGAGCAACGCCGCGUGAGUGAAGAAGGUUUUCGGAUCGUAAAGCUCUGUUGUAAGAGAAGAACGAGUGUGAGAGUGGAAAGUUCACACUGUGACG